AUUGAACGCUGGCGGCCUGCCUAACACAUGCAAGUCGAGCGAGCUCCGGACGGGUGAGUCAUGUCUGGGAAACUGCCUGAUGGAGGGGGUUAACUACUCGAAACGGUAGCUAAUACAGCAUACCAUCAGAUGAUCCCAGCUGUGAUUGGCUAGCAGGUGGGGUAACGGCUCACCGAGGCGACGAUCCCUAGCCGGUCUGAGAGGAUGACCAGCCACACUGGAACUGAGACACGGUCCAGACUCCUACGGGAGGCAGCAGUGGGGAAUAUUGCACAAUGGGCGCAAGCCUGAUGCAGCCAUGCCGCGUGUGUGAAGAAGGCCCUCGGGUUGUAAAGCACUUUCAGCGGGGAGGCGUUACCCGCAGAAGAAGCACCGGCUAACUCCGUGCCAGCAGCCGCGGUAAUUC
rnacentral:rRNA from 1 species